UGGGCAAAUGAAGUUCAUAAUAUUUCGUGAGUUUCCAUAAAAUUAAAACACUGGAAAACCUAACCUUUCUGAUCUACGGACAUGGUUCUGCAGCCUUCAAUUUUUUGUUAAAGCUUUUACAAACUUGUUUACCUCUCAGCACCUAGUUGUUUUAAUUGCCUUAUUAAAAGUAUUGACUACUUCUAAGCUCGCUUUUCCUCUCUUACCCGUUCUAGAAAUUUCUGAUUCCCUUUCCUAGUUGGUGAAAUUAGAAUGAGUGAAAGAGAAAAGUUACCUGGAACUGUGGUUCUGAGGGGGUAAAACCCCUUGUAACUAAAUUCUUAUCAAACUUGUUUUUGACGUACAUAUGUGUGUUUGCUUCUUCUUUCUCUUUCACAUUCUCUUUAGUCACAGUUGCACUGCUUAGCACAUCAUUCAGGAAAAUAUAUAGAGAUAAUGAGCUUAGAGAAAUCAGCCAUUAAACCCAUCGUUAGCAACUUUAUAAAAUAGUAGAUGAUUAGAGACUUUGAAUUCAAUUGAAUUUGUGUACCAAAGAUUGUGUGUUUAUCUCUGAAUUUUAGUUAUCCAAGCCACCAUCUUUCCUAUUUCAUAGGAUACCAUUGAUCUUGUUGAAGAGGAAAUUCAGGAACAGUUUAUUUUUCAUAUGACCUGUGUAUUAAUAACUAUUUCAUAAUUAAAUGCUUCCUCUGUAACAGGGAUUCUAUGAUGUAUAAGAAGAUAAUAAAUUUCAGCCUUCAUCCAACUCAGCAAGAAAACAAUUUAAAACUUUAAGUACCAAGAAGAUAUUUACUGAUGACCUUAUUUUUUGAUAUUUUCACAACCUAGCAACAAUAAUGGUCACAAAGACAUAGGGCAGGAAAUAAAGAAACCAUUUGUUUUGGCUAUGUUGUAGGCUGAAGACUCAGAAUUUUAAGAUGAGAAGAUAGAGGAAGAAGGGAAGAAGGAAAGAAAAAAAGAAAGGGAAUUAAGACAUGAGAAGAAAGAAAAAGGAAAAAUGAAGUGACUUAUUUCAGCAGAGACAGAAUGACUCUGUAUUAAGAAUGCUCUAGGAAAUUGCUGCAGCGGGUGAGAGGUUGACAUUGGCUCCUUCACAACUCAAAGAAUUGGGAAAUCUAUUGAAUCAUGCCUUAAUUAAUUAGGUAAUGGUUGCUCCAUUUUUUUGAGCAUUAGUACAGAUUUUGUCUGUAAUCUAGUAGAUAUAGAAUACAUAAAAU